CCUACGGGAGGCAGCAGUGAGGAAUAUUGGUCAAUGGACGUAAGCCUGAACCAGCCAAGCCGCGUGAGGGAUGAAGGUUCUAUGAAUCGUAAACCUCUUUUAUACGGGAGUAAAGUGCGGGACGUGUCCCGGUUUGUAUGUACCUUAUGAAUAAGGAUCGGCUAACUCCGUGCCAGCAGCCGCGGUAAUACGGAGGAUCCGAGCGUUAUCCGGAUUUAUUGGGUUUAAAGGGUGCGUAGGCGGCCUGAUAAGUCAGCGGUGAAAGGUUGUGGCUCAACCCUAGAAUUGCCUUUGAAACUGGGAGGCUUGAGAAUGGUUGAGGCAGGCGGAAUGUGUGGUGUAGCGGUGAAAUGCUUAGAGAUCACGCAGAACCCCGAUUGCGAAGGCAGCCUGCCAAGCCAUGACUGACGCUGAGGCACGAAAGCGUGGGUAUCAAACAGGAUUAGAUACCCCUGUAGUC
rnacentral:rRNA from 1 species